GAUGACCGCUGGCGGCGUGCCUAAUAAAUGCAAGUCGAGCGAACGGUCGAGAAGCUUGCUCCUCUGAUGUUAGCGGCGGACGGGUGAGUAACACGUGGAUAACCUACCUAUAAGCCUGGGAUCACUUCGGGAACCCGUAGCUAAUACCGGAUAAUAUUUUGAACCGCCUGGUUCAAAAGUGAAAGACGGUCUUGCUGUCACGUAUAGAUGGAUCCGCGCUGCAUUAGCUAGUUGUUAAGGUAACGGCUUACCAAGGCAACGAUGCAUAGCCGACCUGCGGGGGUGAUCGGCCACACUGGAACUGAGCCACCGCCCAGACUCCUACGAGAGGCAGCAGUCGCGAAUCUUCCGCAAAGGGCGAAAGCCUGACGUAGCCACACCGCGUGUGUGAUGAAGGUCUACGGAUCGGAAAACUCUGUUAUUAGGGAAGAACAUAUGUGUAAGUAACUGUGCACAUCAUGACGGUACAUAAUCAGAAAGCCACGGCUAACUACAUG
rnacentral:rRNA from 1 species